GCUACAUGUUUCUACGUGAACAACUGCACAGACGAGGACCACGGCGUGUGCUAUAAGACGAACAGAUGUCGCUGUGAACCAGGCUUUGUUGGCAAUGACUGUAGCAUCGUUGCAACCUGUGCCAACGUGUCUGAAUGUUCCGGUCACGGGGUCUGCGUGGACUUUGGCGUAUGCAAAUGUGACAACGGAUGGGCGGGGCCAAGCUGUACAGAGUUUUCAUGUGAAAGUCUGGCAUUGUGCUCAGGUCAUGGGCGAUGUGAAGGUUAUGACGUAUGCAAAUGUGACAAUGGUUGGCAAGGAAACAGCUGCUCUCUUCCCGAU